CUGAUCCCUCUCUCCGCCUCAGUUUAUGCUCAACGUACGCGCGACCGUAACGCUUGUUGUCCCCCGACUCCUUUUCCGCCCUCUCCUCCUCCUUCUCUCUUAGUUACCUGCAAAAUUGUCGAGGAAGUGAGCCUGCACUCAAUCAGCCGUGUCGCGCAUCCCACCCUCUUGAGUACGAUAGGUGUGUGUUGGGUGAAGCAAUCGCAUGCCAAACCCCCCCUGCCCCCUUUCGCUCUCUUCCUCAUCCCCCUUUGCCCCUCUCCGACGGCACCAUUUCAUCCCGCCCCAUCACUCACACGUCACUGUAGCCCUCCUCCCCUUCCCCUCCUGAAUUCACCACACCACUCUCCAUUUCUGCGCCAUCCCGACGUUUGCUUUGUGUGUGUGUGUGUGUGUUUCUUCUUUACUGUUCCAUAGCGGGUCACGUCCCUCCCCCUCCUCCCCUCUCCUUUACUGAUCUCUUCUUAUUUCCGGUUGUUUCCUCUUCGCGAAGGAAAGGAACCGCUUAACCACGGCACCAGCUCUCUUAACCCCUCUCCAAAAAAAAAAAACAAAUAUAAAACGAAAACGCCACAAAAAAGUACGAAGUGCAUCAUGAAGCUCGUUGUCGAUGAGCUCUAUCGGUCACGGAUGCUGAUGGCCGGCGUGUAUGUGGGGCUUGCUAUCAGCUCCACGUAUGGUUUCAGCAUCUUCACGGAGCACCUGCGGAGCAAAUACAGCUUCAAUCAGGCGGACAUCACAACGAUCAGCACCGUGGGCAACUGCUGCGGCUAUCUUGUCUUCUUUGCCGGCAUGUUGUUCGACUUUGCCGGGCCGAAGGUGCUGUUUCCGAUUGCCGGGUUUUUGGGUUUUCUCGGCUUCCUUUUGUUUGGGCUCGCUUUCGACGACAUCAUCACGAGCAAGAGCAAAGAAAUGGCCCUCAUCCAGUUUUGCAUCUUCAAUGCCAUCUUGUACUUCGGAUGCCCAGCCAUGGACGUGGCAACGUUGAUGCCGCUCAUGGUCAACUUUCCGCUGGAACGCGGGUAUAUGGUGAUUAUCCAGAAGACCUUCUCAGGCCUUGGCACAUCGGUGCUCAUGGCGUACUUCAACGGCUGGUUCCUUAACCUGGGCGCGAAGCAUGAAAGCAACUACUCGGGCUACGCCUACUUUGUCGGCGCGCAGAUGUUUUUCUGCGCCUUGCUGGGCUGCUAUUUUAUUGACCUCGCCCCGUACACACCGUGCCAGUUUCGGCGGAACCGCCUCACCGAGGAGCAGGCCGCUGAGAGGAAGGCCACGUUGGCUGUCUACGGCAAGCAGCACGCCUCUGCCCGGCGUCUGUACAUUGGUUGCUUCAUGGUCGGUGCCAACCUCAUCUUCCUCGCCAUCAGCUCGAUCGUGACAGGUUACGUGCCCACCAAGAAGAGUGGCUACCUCGCCAUCUCUGUGAUAGCGGUGUUUCUGCUAGCGCUCUUCUCCCUCAUGGCGCUACCUAUCCAGUUCCUCGGGCGCUACCCCGUCAUCAAGAAGCGGCACCCCCACUUCCCCAGCCUUGGUUACUCGGACGAUGUGCCGGAGGAGGCUGAGGCUGUCCGCGAGGCCAAGUUUGCGGACGUCGAUGAGAUGGAGGCGGCGGCGGAUGCCGGCGACGCCGCGCAGCAGCGGAGCAGCGUCAGCAGGGAGCCGACGGCCGUGCAGAACCCAACUGACGGGCAGCGUGUUGGCGGCGCAGGCAGCGCGAAUGCGGCUGACGUUGAUGCGAUGGCGGUGAAAGGGGGCGGUGAGAUUGCCAGUGGGAUGCAGACCUACGAGGAGGAUGAGGCGCCAAGUCCGCGGAUGUCGGAUACUGCGAAGAAGGAAGAGGGAGCCGCUCCUGCGCCGCAGACGAACGUUGCCGGCGACCCGCAAUACCACCAAUCGUUCUGGCGCAACCUCCUCACGAUCGAUCUGUGGCUCUUCUGGGUGAGUUUCUUCGGCAUGUGGGGCACCGGCACCGUGAUGCAGAUGAACGCAGCGCAGAUCUACCGCAGUAAGAACUUCGGCGUGUAUGACCAGUCCCGCCUCUCUCUCUAUGUCGCCCUCAUCGGCGUCGGCAGCGCCAUUGGCCGUAUCGUCAGCGGCAUUCUGGACAUGUGGCUCAUUCGGCGCAAGGCGACCUCCACGAACGAGAUCUUGACGACCACCUUCCUUCCAGUUGGUGCAGUGCUGCUGUUCGCCUCCUACCUCUUCUUUGCGGUGAUCCCAGCGGAGGGUCUUGUCCUGCCCUUCCUGCUUGGCUCCAUAGGCACCGGCAUGGGCUGGGGCCUUGGUGCUCUGAGCGUGCGCAUCGUCUACGCGAACGACAUUGGCAAGCACUACAACUUCAUGUUCUCCUCUGGCUUUGUCAGCACCAUUGCCCUAAACCGCUUUAUGUUUGGCGGCAUGUUCGACAAGGAAGCCAGCCGCCUUGGCACAGCCCCCAACUGCAACCAGCCGUCGUGUGUGCGGAAUCAGAUGCUUAUCCUCAUGGCAGUGAACGCCAUGUCCACGAUAGCGGCCGUCUUGGUGCACCUCCGCUUCCGCCGCUUCGUGCGCCAGGAGCGGGCGAAGCAGGCCGAGGCGGCGCUGGCGCUGGAGGCGAAGAACAAGAGCGACUGACCACCGGUGGACAGGGUUUGCACCUAGCAGGCGCAUCGGUUGGCGAGGGGGGGGGGCACGCGCACGUCUGCAUACUCAGCAGUGAUGGAGGGUACAGCCGGACAGAAAGAGAAAAGCAUGAGGGACGUGCAACCGUGCCGAAGAAGGUCGGCGCCUUCCUUCUCAUCUGCUUCCGUUUAAGCUCCAGGAUCGUCGUUUUCGAGUUCUGCUCUUGGCCUUCUGGUGUCUCCUCCCCUCCCAUCUCUUUCAUGCAAUCUUUCUUUGUGGCUCCCUCGCGAGAGCUUCCACAGCGAGAGACCUGCAAAGGCGAGUCCUCUCUCUCCCUCCCGCCUUAAGAGAAAGAAAAUGUGAAAUACAGCGUGCGCCGUGUCACAGUGCGCUAUGCUGCCUUGGAAAAGAAAGCACGACACACCCAAAAACAAACAAGGAAAAAAUAGGAAAUCAAAAAGAAAGGGAGAUGACAAGACGGUGUAUGAUCGCCCCUCCCCCAUCCGAAUGCUUGCAUAUUGCGUGUGCGAGAGAGCAAGCGACAGCGUGGCAGAAAAAAAGACUAAGCGAAUCUGAGAACGCAAAAGAAGUUGGAAUCAAUAAAUGAAUGUUUUUUGUACGUCACCUACAGAGGGGUGUAAAAACACCAGAUAAGCGGGAGGUGAGGAAAACCCAUUUAGCGACAGCAAGGAAAACACACACACACACACACACACACAGGAACAAACCGAAAAAAAAAUGAAAAAGAAGUUUGCUUCUGUGUUUCUUGCUUUCUCGCCGACGAAUAGGUAACACAGGGUGCCGCUGGCGGAGUUGGCGUUCUUCUUGGGCAGUCUGCUGAGGUACAUCCAUAUAUAUAUAUAUAUAUGGAUGUAUGUCUACUCCUCCCUCUUUUGCUGUGGAUUGACUGACCGCUUUUCGUCUCUCGAUGUUUCUUUCGUUUUUCUUUUGUUUUUCUCUUGUCUGUGCGUGCGCGCGCUGCACUCUUUUUUAGUUGUGUUUCCCGUCUUCUUUUUUUUUCCACUUUGCAACUGUCGCCGCCGCCACUUUCGUCGGCGUUGUUUGCCCUCUCGCUCUCCCUACCUACCUACCUACCUACCGCAUUCGAGGUGCGGAGGAAAAAGGGGGACAGGAGAUUUAUGCAACACGUCAUGUUAAUGGCGCUCUCUCUCUCGUUUUGUUUUCCUCGUUGUGGCUAAGCACUGGUCGCUAACUUACACGAUAUCUUCGCGCACCACUCUGCCUCUAAGUAACACCACCCCUUGCCUUAUUCUUGCUUGUUAGUGCUAAUACUACUACUACAGCUAACCUCUUCUGUUUUUCGUGGAUGUGCCGGAACGCAUGACGUAUGUAUGAAGAGUUGGCUACCGCCUCGAGGCAGAAGGAAGAAGGGCACCUUGAGAAGCUCCGGAAAGAAGAUCCGUGUCUUUAAGCUAAACACUAAUGGGGUGUGCAAGUGAUGAGCUCAAACCGGAGAGAUGCAGUGGGGCGAUGUGGCCAAUCGCGUGUGAGAUGGGGGCUCUCUGCAGUCAGAGGGGUGCGGUGGCAGGACCUUCAACCGGGUUGCAAAUACGAAAUAAAUCUUGCAGCCUUUGGAAUGUGGCGUGGAUGCAGAGGUUCAGAGCGUCUUGCCUCCGUAAGCACUGCUGCGUUUCUAUCGAACCGCUCCGCUCCCCCUCCCCCUCCUCCCCAUACCUCCGGAAAUCGGAAAUGCCCGUGAAGGAAGCCCUGCACAUUGAUGGGCGCUGAGUGAGCGCGUGUUACGAACGACGCGCGUUUCUCGUUCGUUUUCGAUGUGCUCCUCGUGCGAAAUGGAUCGUAGUAGAAGCGGCCUCGCGUAAUGGUUUCUCUCUUUCGGUCUUUCGGGGCAGAUCUCACCUUCGCUCCCCUGUACCUCUUGUCGGGCUUCAUUAGCCCCCUCCGUCCUCGGGGUCGCUGCUGCUGCGGUUAUUUCAUUCUCCGAGCCGUGCGUGCACGCUCGCGUGAGUGUGCAGAGCCCCCUGUAGGGAGAGGAGGAUGAGAGCACACACGACGCAUGCCGUUUUCUUCUGAUCCUCGUGUGCUUCUAUGUGCGUAUUCGAGUGCGUCUAUUUUGGCCAGCCUUCGAGUAUCCGUCUCCCCUCUUUUUCGUCCUCCCCUUCCCUCGAAUGCAUGCCCGUUAUUUUUUUUUCGUUCUCGUUUUUUUUUUAAGCAGAGCAUGACUCUUUCCCUUUUGUUUCUGUGUGUUCACUUAUGCGUGUCUCGCUUCUCUCGAUGAGGUGGGCUCUCCGUGUAUGCUGGAGUGCCGUCCUCUUGCGUGGCCCCCCAUUGCAUUCUGCUUGGGGAUCGCCGCGUUCGUUCUCCGCGCGCCUAGCAAACGCACGCACAUCACAGCCACCCCCAUCCGAAGAAGCCGCAAUAUAUGCUUUUUCUUUUGUUUUGCUUCACGUGUUGCCCUCUCGCUUCCUCGGCCGCUGUGUGUCUGUGCGUCGCUUGUCUUUCAUUUCUGUUCUUCUUCGAUCACUUAUCAGACACCGAAGAUGCGCUGCGUUUUUCUUUUUUUUUGUGGAGAGAGAACGAUUUCCUGUCCUCUCGCUUCCUUUUUUCCCCAGCACUUCGGAAAACGCUUCGGAACGUGUGUUCUGUGUUCUCUUUGGUGUUUUUGGCGGGCGCGCGUGCGUGGAAUGCUGUGAGAGUUUUACUUUCUAGCUUUUUUUGUGGGAGGGAGUCUGUGCUUUCACAACCCCACUGGCCGCGGUACGCCACUUGACUUGACGAAAGGAAUGAGAGGAAAGAAGAGCCCACUUAGCGUUGCGUAAAAGCGGGUCGUGCGUCAGUCGGAACUAGAAGAGAAGGAGCGCAUCCGUACAUAAAUCAUGGGCGGCGUUUAUUACAGAUCACUUUUCCAGGGCGUAGUCUGUAGUGCUGCCUUUCUGUUUCGUGGUCUUCAAGCCGUUUUCAGCGCAUAUGGUGCUCUUGUAGCGCAGUCGUUGUGUCAGUCGGCAAAACUGCAGCGGCCGGCGAAAUGGUGGAGGAGGGAAUGCGAGGUUUCGAGAUCUUGUGAGCAGGAAAGCAAGUGAGACUCCAGUUUUUCAGUCGUCUAUGAAGUGUCUGCGGCUUGGAUAAGGAUGCUCAUGUAGCGUGGUAGUGAAAAGACUUUACAGAUGACGAGAAAGCAUGCGCAAAGGUAUACGUGUGUGCGUGUGUUUGUGCUCAUCAGUGUGGGCAAGCGAGCGCACUGUAGACUCGAGGUAGCACUCGUCGGCAUUGUUGAAGAGUCAUGAAUCGCAUACACGUACUGUGCAAGCAACG
rnacentral:misc_RNA from 1 species